CUUCUUUUCUUCCAUUUCAUCCUCUCCAAGAAUUUCUCACUCUUCCUUGCGUAGCCGACAGAGUACUGAAGAAUCUGUAAAGCUCAGGAGGGAUAGCGCCAUGAUUUUUCACAUCAUCGUGUUCUUUGGCGCUGUCUAUCCUGAGUUUCAUGGCUUCUUCUUACUGUAUAUACAUCUUCAAAGAUGCAUGUUCUUGCAAGAGAAGACUCACUGAAAACUAUUCUCUAUAUAUGCUUCUUUCUUCCUCACUCUCUUUCUGAAUGUUACUUGAUUUGUAGGUUCUGAUCAUGGCGGUUCUGAAGUCAAGAUCUUCAAAGAUAUGAUGACGAUUGGGAGUAUGUGCUUUUUUCAAGGAAAAAGAAGGGCUUCUGCCAAAUGGACAUCAAAAUCUGCAUAUUGGCCUGGAGAUCUAUCAAGUGAUGCAAAUUCUUUUGAGAAAUUGUAUGCUACCCUUGAAAAUUUAAGGGAUUUUGGAUUGUUAUUGAGAAAAAUGUUUUCUUUUUCCUUUUCUUCUCUACCUCUCUCUCUCUAUAUAUAUAUCUCUUUGCUGCUGUGCCAACUUAUUUAAUUAUUCAUCUGUAACAAAAUCCUUCAAUUUCUUUAAGGUUUAGUUAGAGCGUUUCAAACUUCUCUUGAUACACUGUGGGAAAAACUUGCAGACAAUACCAUCACAGGAUUCAAAACAUUGGGACAUUGGGAUAUUGCAGUCAAAAUUAUAAUUGCAGAUAAUAUUUAAAAAUGUUGAAUAUUAUAACAAACUAUUUUUAUUUUUUCCUGAUUCUAUAUUUAUAUCAUAGUUUCACAGUACUCCUACUAUGCAGUAAUACAGUAAUAAUAAUAAUAAUAAUAAUAAUAAUAAUAAUAUAUUAGCUUGGAUGGCAUUAAUUGUAUGAGGCCUGUUCAGUGAUCUAGAAUUUGUAGGCUUUUCUUCAGAAGGACCUAUUCUGCUACAAAGUUCGUAACGCAUAUUUUGAAGGCAGUUACUCUCUGAAGCUUGACCUGUUGACUGAUAAGUAUUAUACACAAGAAAGAUACGAGCUGUUCUGAACAGCAGAGAAGAAGGGUCUGAAUUAUUGCUUUUGAAUUAUUUUAUUUAUAUUUUUCCUGUGAAAAGGGUUAUUGAAGAGUAAUGAGUUAGUUCGAUUUUUAAUGGCGAGUUCUGAGGGUAGCAGUCUUUCUCUUUCUGGCCUAAAGCCAAACCCUAGUAUGUGUUUUUUUUUUUGUUUUUUUUUUUACCUUGGAACUAGAAAGCUAUGUGUCUAGGGUUUCUAUGAAAUUCAACUGCAACUUCUGCACAAACUUUUGCAUCAAUUAUAAAUUACACUGUUGAUGUUGA